rnacentral:rRNA from 1 species
AUUCCAGCUCCAAUAGCGUAUACUAAAGUUGUUGCAGUUAAAAAGCUCGUAGUUGAAUUUCUGGAUGCGAAAGAUGGUCGGCACCUCACGGUGUCUGCACCUAUCAUUCGCGUUCAUCCUCGGGAGGAACGUGUGGUCUCUUUAGUGAGCCCGCUCGGGAAUCUCGUCAUUUACUGUGAGCAAAAUAGAGUGUUCAAAGCAGGCUUAUGCCGUUGAAUAUAUUAGCAUGGAAUAAUAAGAUACGACUUUGGUCUAUUUUGUUGGUUUGCAUUCCAAAGUAAUGAUUAAUAGGGAUAGUUGGGGGUAUUCGUAUUCAAUUGUCAGAGGUGAAAUUCUUGGAUUUAUGGAAGACGAACUACUGCGAAAGCAUUUACCAAGGAUGUUUUCAUCA